AACGAACGCUGGCGGCAGGCUUAACACAUGCAAGUCGAGCGCGUAGCAAUACGAGCGGCAGACGGGUGAGUAACACGUGGGAAUCUACCCAUCCCUGCGGACCAGCUCGGGGAAACUGGAGCUAAUACCGCAUACGCCCUUAGGGGGAAAGAUUUAUCGGGGAUGGAUGAGCCCGCGUUGGAUUAACUAGUUGGUGGGGUAAAGGCCUACCAAGGCGACGAUCCAUAGCUGGUCUGAGAGGAUGAUCAGCCACAUUGGGACUGAGACACGGCCCAAACUCCUACGGGAGGCAGCAGUGGGGAAUAUUGGACAAUGGGCGCAAGCCUGAUCCAGCCAUGCCGCGUGAGUGAUGAAGGCCUUAGGGUUGUAAAGCUCUUUCACCGAUGAAGAUAAUGACGGUAGUCGGAGAAGAAGCCCCGGCUAACUUCGUGCCAGCCGCCGCCGUAACAC
rnacentral:rRNA from 1 species